rnacentral:misc_RNA from 1 species
CGCGCUGUAGAGAUAGCCAUUCGUGCCGUUUGUGAUUACAAGCUGCGUUCCGUUGUCGUCCAUCGACACCUGGCCAGUGCCUGAGAUUGAUCCACCGAUAUCCGUUGCAACGCCCGCCGAUGAGAGCCGCUGUCCAGAAACGACAUACGGUACGCCGCCCAUCUUGUGCAUGCCGCGAAUCGGGCCUGUGCCGCAAACCGCGAAGUCAAGGAUGCCGGGAUGGCCAAAUACAGCCACA